UUCACCAAAGUUCACCCCAAAAAAAGAAAAGAACAACAGAAAUAUUGCUCACUGCAAAUAUGUUAAGAUAAACAAAAGAAGACUUUCGUAUUGUUAAUAAAAAGAAGAAAACGUAUAAAAAACUGUACGAAAUGUUUGUACUUCUUACUUGGGACUUAUGAAGUGUCUCACCUUUUCUUAUGCUAAAAUCAACAAUCAGCGAAUCGACAGGUCACAUGCUUCCAGUCAGGUGUUACAGAUUUAUUUGCAAUCAAACUAUAUAUGUUUACAAACAUUUUGAAUGGUAUAUUAGUGCAUUAUGUAACAAGUAUAGUAAUUAAAUGAAUCAACGAUUAAUUAUCGAACUCGAGAACUCAGCA